rnacentral:lncRNA from 1 species
UGAAAGGGUGGCAGAGAAACAUGGGAGAAAGCUCCGAUCGGAGGAGUGAGGAUCGCUAGACUGGCUGCCACCCCCGUAUCAUUCACAUCGGCCCCUGGAAGUGAAGCUGGCAGGGAGGGAUAAGAGCCUGUGCAUUUCUCACCGCUCUGGGUCUUUUGAGUCACUGGGAGCUGAGAAGGACACAUCUCAGACAGCUGGACUUCUAGUUAUAGAAAUGGGUAAGUGACAACUUUUUUUUAAAUACAAUUCAAAUUAGAAUUAAAGAAUGCUCAUAAUUUUACAGGUUUUUU